rnacentral:rRNA from 1 species
ACUCCUACGGGAGGCAGCAGUGGGGAAUAUUGCACAAUGGGGGAAACCCUGAUGCAGCCAUGCCGCGUGUGUGAAGAAGGCCUUCGGGUUGUAAAGCACUUUCAGCAGUGAGGAAGGCGGGUACGUUAAUAGCGUGCUCGUUUGACGUUAGCUGCAGAAGAAGCACCGGCUAACUCCGUGCCAGCAGCCGCGGUAAUACGGAGGGUGCGAGCGUUAAUCGGAAUUACUGGGCGUAAAGCGCAUGCAGGUGGUUUGUUAAGUCAGAUGUGAAAGCCCGGGGCUCAACCUCGGAAUUGCAUUUGAAACUGGCAGACUAGAGUACUGUAGAGGGGGGUAGAAUUUCAGGUGUAGCGGUGAAAUGCGUAGAGAUCUGAAGGAAUACCGGUGGCGAAGGCGGCCCCCUGGACAGAUACUGACACUCAGAUGCGAAAGCGUGGGGAGCAAACAGGAUUAGAUACCCUGGUAGGAUAGCG